UCCAAAGACAAUUGAAACACAGAAUAUUGCUGAUUUUUAUUUCAUUUUAAAUUUGUACAUACUGUAGGAACCUGAAUAUGAAGACUUUGUCACUUCAGCGUUCCCCGCACCCCCACAAAGCCAACAAGUAAUCAUUUUAAAUAACUAUCAAAAUACUAAUUAUUCCACAGCUAAACAGCCCUAUAAAACAUUUGCGUAAAAACUGAGCACCUACAGCGAGUCGGCAUGUGGGAUAAACUCAAAUCUCGCAUCCUGCCUGUCUUAGAGGAGCCUGUCCAACAUGACAGCCUGAUUGUUUUCUUCGCCCUGAUGUGGGCCUCCAUUAUAAUCCCUGAUGGUGAACAUGGAGCUCGCAGUUUGCCUUCAAACGUUAAACUUCCUUCUGACUGCAAAUAAAAAGCACCGAUGAUGUGAAUGGAGAUGAGCAGAGAUAACACCGUUUUCACCAAAGCUCUCAUGUUUUACAGACCAGACAGAUUAGACGGUGAUAAAGCACGCGGUGUGUGUGUGUGUGUGUGUGUGUAUGCGUGUGUGUGUGUCUCCGUGUUUUCAAAUGAAACAUGGGGGAAGAUAGUUGGUACCAGGAGGUGUCCUCCAGAAAAUAGUAAAGAAACCUUCAGAAAACUGGAAUGUAGGUUAUGAGGAAUAAAAUAAAACUGACCUUAAUUUGUUAUUUUUGAGGUGAUUAUGAGAAAGGAAUGCUGACGUUCAGAGCUGCAGCCACAACAUCAAAUGAAAUAUUUAAGCUCCUACUCUGGUCAUCAUCAUUUCACCUGUCCUUGCUUGCACACUACUUACGCCCUGUGCUCUGAGACGACGAUAACACGAGCAGACUACAGGUGGUAAGAAGGUCAGGGUCUUUAAAUACUGAACCGCUAAACCUUUUCCCUACUGCAAUGGAAACAAGGUCACAGCCAGGGUCAUUGAACGACUUCUGGAUACAGAAACACAAAAUCGCCACUUUUCAUGUGCGCUCUACUCCUGUCUACACACACACACGCACGCACACACCCACGCACACACACAUCUGUUCAAAUAAUUCGCCUUCCUUCCUUUGGAAAAUAUUGUUACUGUACGCCUGUCAUGCCUUCUGCUCUGAAAUGACACAGAUGCAGUUGGAAAACAACAACUUCAGAUUUACCGCUCUCCAUUGUUGUGUUUAGACUGAGGAAGACACAAACAGGAUUUCUGAACUUUGCACAGAAUAAAUGUUGCAACCAAAAUUUAUCAGCUCCUUAAUGUUUGUUUCAGCCUCAUUCAGAACGACAAGGCCGUUCAGCGGAUUGCAGAAGUGGUUCUUAUCAGCUACAUGGCUGCCGAAAGGCUUUGCAUCGGCAUGUGAAGACAUUAAAGGGAUAGUUCAAGGCCUUUGAAGGGAGGUUCUGUUAAAAUGCUUUUAAGAAAGUUUAAACAUGUUGUCUUACCUGCAGUAGAUAACUAUCUUAUCCUUUGAAGGUACAGCUCAAUAAAUUAAUAUAAAUGAAAGUUACAUCUUCAAAAAUGAUUGAUUUUCUACUAAUGUUGGUGAUUAUGGCUUACGGCUAAUGAAAAGUCAAUAUGAUUUCUAAGAAAAUUAUAAAAUUUAUACAAUUAGUAAUAACCCUACAUUACAGUACUGACUUGAGACUUGACACAAUUACUUUCCAGCAGACAAGGUCAUUCUUAAGAAGCUAGGCAUUCACAAACAGCCACAAGAAAGUUGUGUGGAAGAAAAAAGUGUGGCCAAGGGGUAAAAUCUGUAUUGUUAUUCUCCGUAUAACAUUCUUCACAAAACAAAAAUUGCACACAAACUAAACGCAGUGUCUCGUUCUGAGCAAAUGCUUCAAAUUUAAUUAUACAUCUGAUCUUCUUCCUCUUUUUCUGGAAAAUAAUUAAUGAAACUUGUUGAGACUUUUAGAUCCUGCAUCUGGCUGAUUGUGUAAUCUGUAGAUCAUCACUACUCCACUCCCUCAGCCUGUCAUCUGCUGCUCUUGGUCUCGUUUUGUUUAUUAAGUCAGUGCAGCGAAAACAGGUCCUCCUUUUUCUAUGCAAACAAUAGUCAUGUUGUUCCUAGGCAACAUCCAUCUUCUAAACUAUGAAGAUCCGACAGUUUUAAAGGCCCCUAAAGAUGGACUUUGGCUGGUCGAACCAGACAGCAACAAGAGAAACGUGAAGCAGAGCUACUGAUUUCUGGGUUGGCCUGAGCUCGAUCUGGAGCAGGAUAAUGUGCUCUUAUGAUGUUUGUUAUAUCAAAUAUGAGAAGCACAAGGUGCUGUUGUUGCUGUGGGACACACACAUGUUUCAAUUGUUUAAAAACCGUUGGGGUUUUAUUCCCACCAAAACGCAGUGUAUUAAGAACUUGAAUUUAAAUGGCUGCUCCUGUUGCUUUAAAAAUAAAUAAAUAAAUAAAAAUGUUCUCCUCGCUCCCACUGAAUACCACAAAACAAGGAGGGAUCUGCAACAUACAUUAGUGGGUGUUUCCUGUCUAAAUGGCAAAGAAAAGUCAUAGAGAUGGAAAAAGAAUCGUGUUUCAGCUAUCCCCACGUUCAUGUUGAUGCAAUUAGAGAAGUACAAUAACAAAGUGGCUCCUUCUGAAUAAAAUACUCAAAUGCUAAAAGUUUAAAAGAUUAGAUCUGCUGAUGCACAUGAGAGGUCAGAGCUGCUCUUUUUUCUUCCCGGCGUAAAGGACAAAACUUUGAAUAGAAACAAAUCAUAAUUCAUCUUUUUUUUUCUAUUUUCCCCCCCAAACACAAUGUGAAACUUCCACUUAAAAAGACCAAACAGUUUGUGUCAAUUAGCUGAGUUACAUGACUUAAUGUUCAGACUUCUAAACAAAAUGUAAACUAAUUGUUGCUGCAAUGUCAACCUUUGACUCACACACUGUGGGUGUAAUUAGGACCAUUUCUGCUACAUCUCACGUAAUUUAAUCAUUAUUGUGAGGCUUUUUUUAAUGCUUUUUUCUACUGCUUUAUUCUUUCACAAAUCUUUCCAUCUCGCAGCCAACAGCUGCUUUCUGUCCGUCAGUUUGAGCAUCCUCUGUCACAUUCCAUCCAAAUCCACAGACUUAUUUUCACACAGGACUCUGCCAGCCCCGAGAUCCCCACUGAAUUCCUCUUUCCAACGUCUCGGGAAGAGAAAAUCCUCCCUUCCAAAUGUUUUAAUGAUAGCAGCAGGUUGUUGCUUUGCUGCCCUCCCACAGCCUCACAUGCAUGAGUCUUUCUUUUUCUGUUUUGUUUUCUUAAAUCAGGUUGGUCUUCCCUGGCAUAUUUAGCCUGAAGAGACAUCUGCAGGAAUGAACGGGAUCUCGCAUUAAAGGUGCACAACUGUUGAACUGCAAUCAUCACUGCAAAAUCAGUGCGUUCAAAGCUGCAGCUGCUGUGAUAUUAUUUCACUGUUUUGUGUAUUGAAGCUGCGCCACAUUCACUGUCCUUAUGUAUUUAUGGUUUCCAAGAUCUAUGCAUGUAUAUACGGGUAUUAUCAGCCUUUAGUGUGCCACUCAGAUUGUACAGAUUUGCUUUUAAUGGAACAAGGAAAUGGGCCAUUUAUAGCAAAGGUCAAAUUUACAGACAAUCCUGUUCCCACAAAACAGAGGGAGGCUAUAUGAAAAGCAGAUCAGUAGACCGUCAUUGUGCAUGACUUCCUGUCUUUCCCUGUCCUGCAUCACCCGAGGAAGCAUUUCCCAUGGUGGACGGCGUCCAUAAUAGUUGCCAUGUUUUUUCCUCUGCUUUUUAUUUUUUAUUUUUUUUUUUAGAGUUUGUUUUUCUCUUCACGUUCACUGAGCUCAUCCACAGGACGCGAGUGAGGCUUAUUGUUUUCACCAUAACAGCGGUAACUGUGCUCUCCCAUAAAGGCCUGAAAAGGAACAAGCUGCAGUUCAGGUCAUUAUUGACGAUUCAUGUUGAUCUGUUGUUCAUGUUCUUUCCUUUCCCGUUUUGAGGCUUCAGAAACCACAAAAAGCUCAGUUUCACCGAACCGCCCACCAUGCAGAGCUCGUGAAUCUUUCACUUUACUUGGUCUGUAAGGAUGCCAGGCUCUGUUAAACCCGUAUUUCUCAGCUAUAAAGCAAACCUCUAAACUGCUUUAAUCAUUGUGUCCAUCUCAGUGCGCGGUUCCUUCUUCUUUUUUACUGUCGAUCAUGAAUUCAGCCCACUAAUGACGAAGGGAAACAAUGGCGGCUUUGGGAGAGGACAGAGGGGAAGCUGAUGUUUUUCUGCAGGCUGGCAGAGAGAGAGAGAGAGAGAAGAGUCAGGCGGCCAAAGUCUCCGUUUUCAGGCCUAAAGCAGAAAACUUCGUCAAAAUAACACAUUUGUUCCUCAGUAAUGAAUCGGCUUCAUUGUUUUAGUCUCUC